rnacentral:rRNA from 1 species
AGAGUUUGAUCCUGGCUCAGGACGAACGCUGGCGGCGCGCCUAACACAUGCAAGUCGAACGAGCGAGAGAGAGCUUGCUUUCUCGAGCGAGUGGCGAACGGGUGAGUAACGCGUGAGGAACCUGCCUCAAAGAGGGGGACAACAGUUGGAAACGACUGCUAAUACCGCAUAAGCCCACAGCUCGGCAUCGAGCAGAGGGAAAAGGAGCAAUCCGCUUUGAGAUGGCCUCGCGUCCGAUUAGCUAGUUGGUGAGGUAAUGGCCCACCAAGGCGACGAUCGGUAGCCGGACUGAGAGGUUGAACGGCCACAUUGGGACUGAGACACGGCCCAGACUCCUACGGGAGGCAGCAGUGGGGGAUAUUGCACAAUGGGGGAAACCCUGAUGCAGCGACGCCGCGUGGAGGAAGAAGGUCUUCGGAUUGUAAACUCCUGUUGUUGAGGAAGAUAAUGACGGUACUCAACAAGGAAGUGACGGCUAACUACGCGCCAGCAGCCGCGGUAAAACGUAGGUCACAAGCGUUGUCCGGAAUUACUGGGUGUAAAGGGAGCGCAGGCGGGAAGACAAGUUGGAAGUGAAAUCUAUGGGCUCAACCCAUAAACUGCUUUCAAAACUGUUUUUCUUGAGUAGUGCAGAGUAGGCGGAAUUCCCGGUGUAGCGGUGGAAUGCGUAGAUAUCGGGAGGAACACCAGUGGCGAAGGCGGCCUACUGGGCACCAACUGACGCUGAGGCUCGAAAGUGUGGGUAGCAAACAGGAUUAGAUACCCUGGUAGUCCACACCGUAAACGAUGAUUACUAGGUGUUGGAGGAUUGACCCCUUCAGUGCCGCAGUUAACACAAUAAGUAAUCCACCUGGGGAGUACGACCGCAAGGUUGAAACUCAAAGGAAUUGACGGGGGCCCGCACAAGCAGUGGAGUAUGUGGUUUAAUUCGACGCAACGCGAAGAACCUUACCAAGUCUUGACAUCCCUUGACGAACAUAGAAAUAUGUUUUCUCUUCGGAGCAAGGAGACAGGUGGUGCAUGGUUGUCGUCAGCUCGUGUCGUGAGAUGUUGGGUUAAGUCCCGCAACGAGCGCAACCCUUACUGUCAGUUACUACGCAAGAGGACUCUGGCAGGACUGCCGUUGACAAAACGGAGGAAGGUGGGGAUGACGUCAAAUCAUCAUGCCCUUUAUGACUUGGGCUACACACGUACUACAAUGGCGUUAAACAAAGAGAAGCAAGACCGCGAGGUGGAGCAAAGCUCAGAAACAACGUCCCAGUUCGGACUGCAGGCUGCAACUCGCCUGCACGAAGUCGGAAUUGCUAGUAAUCGUGGAUCAGCAUGCCACGGUGAAUACGUUCCCGGGCCCUAUGUACACACGGCCCGU